rnacentral:rRNA from 1 species
UACGAAGGGGGCUAGCGUUGCUCGGAAUCACUGGGCGUAAAGCGCACGUAGGCGGAUCUUUAAGUCGGGGGUGAAAUCCUGGAGCUCAACUCCAGAACUGCCUUCGAUACUGAGGAUCUCGAGUCCGGGAGAGGUGAGUGGAACUCCGAGUGUAGAGGUGAAAUUCGUAGAUAUUCGGAAGAACACCAGUGGCGAAGGCGGCUCACUGGCCCGGUACUGACGCUGAGGCACGAAAGCGUGGGGAGCAAACAGG